UCCGUGCCAGCAGCCGCGGUAAUACGGAGGGGGUUAGCGUUGUUCGGAAUUACUGGGCGUCAAGCGCGCGUAGGCGGACAUUUAAGUCAGGGGUGAAAGCCCCGGGGCUCACCCCGGAACUGCCCUUGAUCUGCUGUGUCUUGAGUUGGAAGAGGGUAGUGGAAUUCCCGAGUGGUAGAGGUGAAAUUUCGUAGAUUUUCGGAGGAACACCAGUGGCGAAGGCGGCUCUCUGGACCCAAUACUGACGCUGAGGUGCGAAAGUGUGGGGAGCAAACAGGAUUAGAUACCCUGGUAGUCCACACCGUAAACGAUGAAUGCCAGACGUCGGGUAUAAUGAUAUACGGUGACACACCUAACAGAUUAUACAUUUCCCCCCGGGG
rnacentral:rRNA from 1 species